CUGGGGAAAGGAGGGUCGCGGCGAGAUACCCUUUCACCAGACACUGAGCUGUUAGUGUGGUGAACUGCUCUGGAAAGAGAGAAGCUGGUCAAGACUGAGGCCAAAGAACUGAGAAGGAAACUUCUCACCACAUUCUCUUUUCAACUUUUGGCUGUUGGCCCAUGUGCUGGUGUAUCAAUUCGAAGAGCAAUUUGUUUUUUAAAAUAAUUUGGCCUGAUAAGAAACUCUGGAUUCUCCUGCCUGUGGCUUUAAGACCCAGUUCUGUGCCCUGGGGCUAACGUGCCCCCAGGGUCAUAUCACAGCCAUAGUCCAGGGACCCUGGCAAGGGAGCAGAUGAUGACUGGGAGCAACACACAGAAUCCUCUGGCAAGAGUCUGGGGCAUGGCCCGUAUCUCCGCUUAAACGCCAGAGGAAUGGAAGAAACAAAAGCAUCUAACCAAAGCCGCCGGGGUGCCGUGUAGGCCAGCCCCAGCAGAUGCAGUGGAGGAAGGGUGCCAGCCCAGACACAGCACACAAGAGUGGGGAUGGAGGGCUCGCAGGGUACCUCUGAGGGCAGCAGAUGCCCUGGGCAACACCUGGACCGCUUUGCUUCUCUGCGCCACAGGCCCCUCUGGGGUCGGUGAGGCCCCCCCACCCUUCUCUGGAGUUUACAGAAAGGAGUGCUCCACCCUACACCUCCAGGCCCUCCCGUGACAAAAGAAAACCAGGGUGUGGCGGGGAGGCUGGUUAGGGCUCCUCUCAAGACCACCCUAGUUCAUUUCACUUCAGAGGAGACCAGGCUCAAGUACCUGGAAGCAAGAAAUACUCUCUUCAGAAGGUGGUUCCCUUCACCUCAGUAAAGAUGCUCUGAGCCUGAACCCAAAAACAGGAGGUCAGAUGUGUUUACGCAGAGGGCACCAUUUUAUGUCUAUGGGAUUGGUGUAUUCUUUUUCAGUUUAUUUGGUUUGCUUUUUCGCUGUUUCAAAAAUGUUAAACAUACAUAAAAGUAGGUAAAAUGGAUUCCCAUUUACCCCCCUCCAGAUUAUCAAUAUUUUGUCACAGUGGCUUUAUUUGUCCCUUUGCAGAAUAAUUAUUAGCAGUGCCCUCUUUCACUCCCCAAAGUCCUAGUCUGGACAACUAAAAGCAAUCUCUGAACCUACAUUGAAUCCUGCAAUGGAGGGGAAAAAUGUUAUAAAGGAUGUCUUUGGGUCAGCUGAUACAAUUAGAAUGUAAACAGUAGAGCCAAUACAACUAUUACAUCAAACUUAUAUUUACUGAAGUUUGUAAAAAAAAAAUUGUGGUCACAUAAGACAGUUUCCUUACUCUUCGGAAAUAAACAGAAACUGCUAUGGUGUAUGCAACCAACGUUCAAAUGUUUCAGAAAUAAAAGUGUGCAUAUACAUAUGUAUGUUUAUGCAUCCUGAGAGAAAAACAUUGAAAGUAAACGGAAAAUGUUAAAAUAGGUGAAUCUGAGUAAAAGAUAUGAGUGCUCUA